rnacentral:rRNA from 1 species
GACGAACGCUGGCGGCGCGCCUAACACAUGCAAGUCGAACGAGCGAGAGAGAGCUUGCUUUCUCGAGCGAGUGGCGAACGGGUGAGUAACGCGUGAGGAACCUGCCUCAAAGAGGGGGACAACAGUUGGAAACGACUGCUAAUACCGCAUAACGUCGCAAGACCAAAGAGGGGGACCUUCGGGCCUCUUGCCAUCGGAUGUGCCCAGAUGGGAUUAGCUUGUUGGUGGGGUAACGGCUCACCAAGGCGACGAUCCCUAGCUGGUCUGAGAGGAUGACCAGCCACACUGGAACUGAGACACGGUCCAG